UAUGGUGCAAGCGUUAUCCGGAUUUACUGGGUGUAAAGGGAGCGCAGGCGGCGCGCCAAGCCCGGUGUGAAACCCCGGGGCUCAACCCCGGGCUUGCACUGGGAACUGGCGUGCUUGAGUGCCGGAGGGGUAGGCGGAAUUCCUGGUGUAGCGGUGAAAUGCGUAGAUAUCAGGAGGAACACCGGUGGCGAAGGCGGCCUACUGGACGGUGACUGACGCUGAGGCUCGAAAGCGUGGGGAGCAAA
rnacentral:rRNA from 1 species